rnacentral:rRNA from 1 species
UAAUACGUAGGGUGCGAGCGUUAAUCGGAAUUACUGGGCGUAAAGCGUGCGUAGGCGGUUGGCAAAGUCAGCUGUGAAAGCCCCGGGCUUAACCUGGGAAUGGCGGUUGAAACUAGUCGACUAGAAUCUGGCAGAGGGGGGUGGAAUUCCACGUGUAGCAGUGAAAUGCGUAGAGAUGUGGAGGAACACCGAUGGCGAAGGCAGCCCCCUGGGCUGAGAUUGACGCUCAGGCACGAAAGCGUGGGGAGCAAACAGGAUUAGAUACCCUGGUAGUCCACGCCCUAAACGAUGUCAACUAGGUGUUGGGAGCGCAAGUUCUCAGUACCGCAGCUAACGCGUGAAGUUGACCGCCUGGGGAGUACGGUCGCAAGAUUA